rnacentral:rRNA from 1 species
UACGGAAGGGGGCUAGCGUUGCUCGGAAUCACUGGGCGUAAAGCGCACGUAGGCGGCUUUCUAAGUCAGGGGUGAAAUCCUGGAGCUCAACUCCAGAACUGCCUUUGAUACUGGGAGCUCGAGUCCGGGAGAGGUGAGUGGAACUCCGAGUGUAGAGGUGAAAUUCGUAGAUAUUCGGAAGAACACCAGUGGCGAAGGCGGCUCACUGGCCCGGUACUGACGCUGAGGUGCGAAAGCGUGGGGAGCAAACAGG